GUUAAGUAAUUAAAGGGAUUAUUAGGGAUGCCUAGCAGAUAUGUUGAAAAGGAAGUAUAAUACUAAAAGUAUAGAUACAAUCAGAAUAUUUAUACAAUCCUAAGGUAAACCGAAUAGUAUAGAACGUUGGGAAGUAAAACAUUACAGUACCAAUAGGAAAGGAAAUCAAAAGAGACUCUGGAAGUAAUGGUGAGUGAAACCAGAAUAGCCGAAAUUUUUACUAACGCGCAUAGUACUUUGGAAUAAGUAGACAUUAGAAUAAUAUAAAUUUAUUCUAAUCCCAUAGAAGGUGAAAGUCCUGUAUGUGAUGAAAGUAAAAAUAAUAGUAAGUAAUAUGAGGACGUCAGCCUUGUAUGAAUAAGGGGGUACCAUCCUCCAAGGCUAAGUAUAACAUAUCUAGCGAUAGUGGAGAGUAACGUGAGUGAAAGGUGAAAAGUAAGUAGAUGACUAGUGAAAUAGAACCUGAACUAGUAAUCCUAUAAGCAGUUGGAGUUUUUAGUAAAAAAUGACAACGUACCUUUUGCAUAAUGGGUCAGCGAGUUAGUUUAUAGAGCAAGAUGAAUAAUCUAAGCGAAAGCGACUGUAAUAAGUGGAUCAAAAAUAGUUUUAUGAACUAGACCCGAAGCCAAAUGAUCUUACCAUGACCAGGCUAAAAAAGGGCCGAACAGGUGAAUGUUGCAAAAUUCUCUGAUGAGUUGUGGUAAGGGGUGAAAGGCCAAUCUAAUUUGGAUGAUAGCUGGUAUUCUGCGAAACCUAUUUAGGUAGGGCCUUUAUUUACACUUUUAUAUGUACAGCACUGAUCAUCAUACAUUAGCCAGAUGUUUUACAUCACUAUGUUAAAUUGGGGGGUUUCACAACUCUACCAUUGAUGGUUAACCUCGGAAGGAUAAUAGUGAAUGAUAAGGGCACAGUCUAUUCAUGAUAAGGUGGAUAGACAAAAGGGAAACAGCCCAGAGCACGUGUUAAGGUCCCAAAAUAUUGUUAAGUGAAUAUAAGAAAGUUUAACUCCUAAUACAACCAUGAAGUAGGCUUGGAGGUAGCCAUCUUUUAAUGAUAGUGUAACAACUCAGUGGUCUAUAAAAUCAAUGAAUUUAUUUUUAUUGCUGUUUUCCGAAAGGAAAACAGGAGGAGAUAAGCGUCGAAAAUUAACGGGUCUUAGACAAUAUACCUACACCGUGACUAUUUAUAAUAAAUCUAAUUUAUUAUAAGUAAGGGUAGCAGAACACUCAGUAUCUGAUUGAAGGAAAAUGUUUCAUUUACUGGACAGUACUGAAGAGAAAAUGCUGACAUGAGUAACGUAGAAAGGAGUUAAAACACUCCUCGCCGAAUACGAGAGGGUUUCAUGGAGAAGUUAAUCUGCCAUGAGUUAUGCGGACUCUAAGGAUUAUAUGCGAAUGUUUAUAUCUGAUGAGAACUACUAGAAUUACACUGAAUUAUCCAUAUAUAAUAACCCUUUGUCUCGUAGGAAAAUUUACGGAACAAAUGGUUGGAUCAAGAAAAAUAAGUGUCACUAUAUAUAGUGAAUCCGUACCCUAAACCGACACAGGUUCGUAGGUAGAGAAUACUAAGGCGUAGAGAUAAUGCUUGUGAAGGAACUCGGCAAAUUGUGCCCGUAAGUUAGACGAUAAGGGUAACCAGAAUAAAUAAUUAUAUUCUAAUUCUGAGUGUCACAAAAUCGAGGGCUGCGACUGUUUACCAAAAACACAGCAACUUGCUAAGACGAAUAGUACUUGUAUAAGUUGUGAACUCUGCCCAAUGCCAUGUCGUGUAAAGAAGGUGAUUUAUUAAUUAGUAAAUAAUUAAUAGAGUCACUAACUGAUGCCAUGGUGAAUGGCGGUCUUAACUAUAAGGAUCUGAAAGUAGCGAAAUUCCUUGGCCAUUAAAUGUGGUCCUGCAUGAAUGAGGUAACGUGGCCCUGCUGUCUCCACAAGCAUCUCAGUGAAAUUGAAUUAGCCGUGCAGAUGCGGUUUACCUUCAGUUAGACGGGAAGACCCUAUGCAGCUUUACUGUAACUUGAUAUUGUUACUUCUAUAGCUAGGUGUAGUAUACAAGGGAGUAGAUUUUAUUUACAUCAGUGAAAUACCUUGACUAGUCUAAAGAAGUAACUUACCUAACGUUAAUAAGAUAUCACUUUCUAUGAUAGGCCUAUAAAUAUUAGAUUUAUAGGCCCUCUAUAAUUUUCUAGAAAAUAUCUAUUCAUUUAUCACUAUAAAGUAUAUUGCGCCUGCGCGUAUAUUUUAUAGGCGCUAGAAAAAGGAAAAGAAAAAGGAGGGGGUGGGCGAAGCCCCCCACUCUAUGAAUAAAUGAAUAAGUACUGUCCAUUUUUAGUAUAGCUUUACUACUGUUAUACUAAAGACCUAGCGCCAGCAUACAACUGUACUAUAGAAAGGAGAUAAGGAAUUAUAUGGAAAAAUAUCAGGUGGUCAGUUUGACUGGGACGGUAGCCUCUAAUAAAGUAUCAGAGGCCUUCAAAGGUAUGCAUAUAUUGGUCAGAAACCAAUGAACUAUGUAAAGUUUAUUAAAGCGUAAUAGUAUAAGCAUGCUUGACUGAAAGACUGAUAGGUCGAUCAGAUACGCAAGUAGGAUAUAGUGAUCCGGUGAUUCAUAAUGGAAUGGUCAUCGCUCAAGAAAUAAAAGUUA
rnacentral:rRNA from 1 species